UGGGGAAUAUUGCACAAUGGGGGAAACCCUGAUGCAGCGACGCCGCGUGAGUGAAGGAGUGAUUCGUCACGUAAAGCUCUAUCAGCAGGAAAGAAAAUGACGGUACCUGACUAAGAAGCCCCGGCUAACUACGUGCCAGCAGCCGCGGUAAUACGUAGGGGGCAAGCGUUAUCCGGAUUUACUGGGUGUAAAGGGAGCGUAGACGGCGAGGCAAGUCUGAAGUGAAAGCCCGGGGCUCAACCCCGGGACUGCUUUGGAAACUGUCAGGCUGGAGUGCAGGAGGGGUGAGUGGAAUUCCUAGUGUAGCGGUGAAAUGCGUAGAUAUUAGGAGGAACAUCGGUGGCGAAGGCGGCUCACUGGACUGUAACUGACGUUGAGGCUCGAAAGCGUGGGGAGCAAACAGG
rnacentral:rRNA from 1 species